CGGUGAAAUGCGUAGAUAUUAGGAAGAACACCAGUGGCGAAGGCGGUUCUCUGGACUGUAACUGACGCUGAGGCACGAAAGCGUGGGUAGCAAACAGGAUUAGAUACCCUGGUAGUCCACGCCGUAAACGAUGAGUACUAGGUGUAGGGGGUAUCGACCCCCCCUGUGCCGCAGUAAACACAAUAAGUACUCCGCCUGGGAAGUACGAUCGCAAGAUUAAAACUCAGAGGAAUUGACGGGGACCCGCACAAGCAGCGGAGCAUGUGGUUUAAUUCG
rnacentral:rRNA from 2 species